rnacentral:misc_RNA from 1 species
CUGCGGAAGGAUCAUUACCACAUAUCAUCGGGGGAGAACUUCGGUUCUCCUGUCUGAACCCUUGUCUUUUGCGUACUAUUUGUUUCCUUGGUGGGCUUGCCUGCCGAUAGGACAACCAUUAAACCUUUUGUAAUUGCAAUCAGCGUCAGAAAAAACAUAAUAAUUACAACUUUCAACAACGGAUCUCUUGGUUCUGGCAUCGAUGAAGAACGCAGCGAAAUGCGAAAAGUAGUGUGAAUUGCAGAAUUCAGUGAAUCAUCGAAUCUUUGAACGCACAUUGCGCCCCUUGGUAUUCCAUGGGGCAUGCCUGUUCGAGCGUCAUUUGUACCUUCAAGCUCUGCUUGGUGUUGGGUGUUUGUCCCGCUUUUUUGCGUGGACUCGCCUCAAAGCAAUUGGCAGCCGGCGUACUAGCCUGGGAGCGCAGCACAUUUUGCGCAUCUCGACUUGAACGCUUGCAUCCAUCAAGUUACUUUUUAACUCUUGACCUCGGAUCAGGUAGGGAUACCCGCUGAACUUAAGCAUAUCA